AGCCCAGGCCAUCUGGGAAGUGAAGAGACCGGCCCCUGUGAGGCCUUUAGACUAACGCUGCGGGCUCUGCGGUCCUCAGCGGCCUCAUCUGUCCGAUGGGUUUCGUUGUAGCAGGGAACAGCCCCUACGGGCUGAGAGAGCAUAGCAAAGUCAAGAGCUGUGCUCCUGACGGCCCACCUGUGUAAUGGCCAGCUUUUACAACUAGGCCAACAGGUCCGUGCUCCUGGACUCAGGCGCCCCACGGGCCCCCUAAUCCUCACAGCAGCUCAGCAAAGCAGACAUUAUGGAAACCGUCUCCCAGAGAGCAGGUAUCCCAGCCUGUUGCACAGAUAGGAUUUGAACUUGAUCUGGCUGAUGGGAAGAGGAAACCCUGACUUGUAACUGCUGGUUUUUCUGUACCCUGGUCAGCUAGGUCAUCUUGGGCGUUUGUAUCACCAAUGUCAUUGUCAUGGCUGUUCUGUCUUGAAUCCCUUCCCCCAUCCCACCCUCCCUGGAGUGUGUGGCCCAGCCUGGACAAGAGCCUGGUGGCCAUGACAUCAUCCACCGCCCGCUCAGCACCCCUGUGCCCACGCAGCUUCCUACCCAUGCCCACGCCCACAUUCUGGCCAGCAGAUGCUCUCAGGACUACAGCAGGCUUGUGCAACAAUAAACGUUGGCUUGGA